rnacentral:rRNA from 1 species
ACAGAGGGUGCGAGCGUUAAUCGGAAUUACUGGGCGUAAAGCGCACGUAGGCGGCUUGGCAUGUCGGGUGUGAAAUCCCCGGGCUCAACCUGGGAACUGCAUCCGAAACUGCCUUGCUAGAGUAUGGGAGAGGGAAGCGGAAUUUCUGGUGUAGCAGUGAAAUGCGUAGAUAUCAGAAGGAACAUCAGUGGCGAAGGCGGCUUCCUGGACCAAUACUGACGCUCAGGUGCGAAAGCGUGGGGAGCAAACAGGAUUAGAUACCCUGGUAGUCCACGCCCUAAACGAUGAGAACUAGAUGUCGGGAGGGUUUGCCUUCCGGUGUCGUAGCUAACGCGUUAAGUUCUCCGCCUGGGAAGUACGGCCGCAAGGUUG